rnacentral:lncRNA from 1 species
UGCAGGUUCUCAUUUAUCUCAAACAGGCCACAGCUCCUUCACUUUCUGUACCAUUUGCUAGUUACCCUAAUCCCUUCAGCAUUUUCUUUUGCCCUGCUAUUUCACAGAAGAGUUUAUAUACUGUAAAUUGCUUUCUGUCUCCCUUCCCACUAAGUUACCAUCUGUUAUGCAUUAUCCUCAAAUGCUAUUUGCAGUCCAACAAACUUCCACUAAAAAAGUAUGGGCCAUUUCCCCUAAUUUUCUUCUUCACUCUAGAUUUGGCUCUGUGUAAAGCAUAUGUACAGCUCUUCAAUCCUUGUUCAGAGGAUGAAAAGGUGAGGAAUAUGCCUACAGUCUCUCUGCAAGGAUCUGCAACCUCAUCCAGCCUCUUCUAUUGCCAUCAAGUCAGAUAUCAAGGGAGGCAUCCUUUCAGCUUGUGCUGUGAACUCACUUGCCCACUCAGCUACUUCAGUGAAUGUGACAAGCUGCCAGGACAAGUAUAAUGUGCUUCACCCACCAACUGUCCUUCUUAUGCUCAUUUGCACAUGGAAGAAGAAACAGGAGCCCUUUGGAUCUAUAUAACUGAAGUCCAACAAUUCACAUUUUCCCUUCAACUGGAAAUUCAGAUGUUUUCUUUUUCAUGGCCAUGAGGAGAUCAUCCACAAACAGCACUUUAUAGAGCUGUCAGCACCACCAACAUUAGAGCCUCUACCCUGGGGAAGGGAAACACUGAAAGUUCCCUCAGAGCACGCCACAUCUUUAAUACAAAUCUGCUAAAUAGAUAUUUUCAUAAUGAAUUAUUUUCUGAUGAAUGAAUAAGCUUUUUCCAAUGAGUCAG